AAGUCGUACGGUUCCGAUUUAUCGGGACAGUGGCGAACGGCUGAGUAACACGUAGGUAACCUGCCCCUAAGUAGGGGAUAACUCUGAGAAAUCGGAGCUAAUACCUUAUGCGGUGGUGACAUUGUGGUGUCAUCACUAAAGCCUUCGGGUGCUUAGGGAGGGGCUUGCGUCCUAUCAGGUAGUUGGUAGGGUAAUAGCCUACCAAGCCGAUGACGGGUAGCUGGUCUGAGAGGAUGUCCAGCCAGACUGGGACUGAGACACGGCCCAGACUCCUACGGGAGGCAGCAGCAAGGAAUAUUGUGCAAUGGGCGAAAGCCUGACACAGCGACGCUGCGUGGGGGAAGAAGGCCUUCGGGUUGUAAACCCCUUUUCUCAGGGAAGAUGAUGACGGUACCUGAGGAAUAAGUCUCGGCCAACUACGUGCCAGCAGCCGCGGUAAUACGUAGGAGGCGAGUGUUAUCCGGAUUUACUGGGCGUAAGAGGGCGUAGGCGGUUCUUCAAGUCGGAUGUGAAAUCUCCUGGCUUAACUGGGAGGAGUCAUUCGAAACUGUUGGGCUAGAGGGCAGCAGAGGGAGGUGGAAUUCCCGGUGUAGUGGUGAAAUGCGUAGAUAUCGGGAGGAACACCAGUGGCGAAGGCGGCCUCCUGGGCUGUUUCUGACGCUGAGGCUCUAAAGCGUGGGGAGCGAACAGGAUUAGAUACCCUGGUAGUCCACGCUGUAAACUAUGGACACUAGGUAUGGGGAGUAUCGACCCUCUCUGUGCCGAAGCUAACGCUUUAAGUGUCCCGCCUGGGGACUACGGCCGUAAGGCUAAAACUCAAAGGAAUUGACGGGGGCCCGCACAAGCAGCGGAGCGUGUGGUUUAAUUCGAUGCAACACGAAGAACCUUACCAGGGCUUGACAUGUUGGAAGUAGCAAUCCGAAAGGGGAGCGACCUGUUAAAUCAGGAACCGACACAGGUGCUACAUGGCUGUCGUCAGCUCGUGCCGUGAGGUGUUGGGUUAAGUCCCGCAACGAGCGCAACCCUCGUUGCCAGUUAAUUUCUCUGGCGAGACUGCCCCGCAAAACGGGGAGGAAGGUGGGGAUGACGUCAAGUCAGCACGGCCCUUAUGCCCUGGGCUACACACACGCUACAAUGGGUGGUACAAUGGGUUGCAAUGGAGCGAUCCCUAGCUAAUCCAAAAAGCUACCCUCAGUUCGGAUUGCAGGCUGAAACCCGCCUGCAUGAAGCC
rnacentral:rRNA from 1 species